rnacentral:rRNA from 1 species
CCCUUAGAUGUCCGGGGCAGCACGCGCGCUACACUGAAGGAAUCAGCGUGCUAAAACCAUUGUCGAAAGGCAUUGGUAAACCCAUUAAAAUCCUACGUGAUUGGGAUCGGGAAUUGCAAUUAUUUCCCUUGAACGAGGAAUUCCCAGUAAGUGUGGGUCAUAAGCUCGCGUUGAUUACGUCCCUGCCCUUUGUACACACCGCCCGUCGCUGCCCGGGACUGAGCCGUUUCGAGAAAAGCGGGGACUGCUGCUGUCGGGGCUUUCGGGCCUUGGCUUCGGUGGAAACCGCUUUAAUCGCAGUGGCUUGAACCGGGCAAAAGUCGUAACA